rnacentral:rRNA from 1 species
UGGCGCACGGGUGAGUAACACGUAGGUAAUCUACCUUUGGGUGGGGAAUAACAGCCGGAAACGGCUGCUAAUACCGCAUAAUGCAGCGGCUCGACAUCAAGACAGUUGUUAAAGCGGGGGAUCGCAAGACCUCGCGCCUAAAGAGGAGCCUGCGGCAUAUUAGCUAGUUGGUAAGGUAAUGGCUUACCAAGGCGACGAUCUGUAACCGGCCUGAGAGGGCGGUCGGUCACACUGACACUGACAUACGGGUCAGACUCCUACGGGAGGCAGCAGUCGGGAAUUUUGGGCAAUGGGCGAAAGCCUGACCCACCACCGCCGCGUGAAGGAUGAAAUCCCUCGGGAUGUAAACUUCGCAAGAAUGGGAAGAAUAAGUAGGGGACGAUCCCCCCUAUGAUGACGGUACCAUUUGUAAGCUCCGGCUAACUCCGUGCCAGCAACCGCGGUAAUACGGGGGGAGCAUGCGUUGUUCGGAUUUACUGGGCGUAAAGGGCGCGUAGG